UUUUUAAACCAAUCAGAGGCGGAUGGUGGGCGGAGCAGAAUCAUCUGACCAAUCGGCGUUUGUCUACCGAGUGUGGCUUCCGUUUGUUGUCAUUGUCCAUGACUUGCGGGAUGGAAAGCAGACCAUGGGAGAAACACAAUUGGUGAAAACGGGUGAAAAUAGGAGUAAAACCAACGUUUGAAUCGUCGCUUUGAUUUGUUAGCACUGUGAGAAACUUGCUUGCUCAGUCUGGAGGUGAAAACAAACGUUGAAGCUGUGUUUGUCGAACGCGAGUAAGGGACGCUGAACACAUCUGCAGCACGAAGGUGUCAUCAUUUUGUCCAUGAUUACAGAGUCCUCGUACAAUAAAGUUCUGUGAGACCACGACAAAGAGGCCUCCAGGUGUCAUCAUUUUGUCCAUGAUUACAGAGUCCUCGUACAAUAAAGUUCUGUGAGACCACGACAAAGAGGCCUCCAGGUGUCACCACUUCGUCCAUGACGUUGUCAACGAUCACAGUCUUCGUAAGAUGAAGUUCUUUGAGACUAGGACUGAGGCCUCCAGGAGGAGAAGACGACGACAGCAGCUGAAGACCUGAAAGAAAACAAAAGUGUUACUGGCUGUUAAUUAGAUGAAAUUCCUCUGCCAUCUAAAUGCUGUAAACAGUGUUUGUUUCCUGUUAAAGUGAUAACACACUUUCCAAAGACUAAUGUUUCUCUAUUAAACAACUGCUUGUCAUACAAAAGCAGUUAAAUGAUCACAAAGACACUUAGUAGAUGUUCGUCUUUGGAAAAUGUGCUCAUAACUACAUUAGCCCUAACCAGCUCUAACAAGCGUUUCCUUGUGGUCAAAUGUCUGUCAUUAUCUUUGCUGUGAUUUGUUAAAUGUUGUCUGGAAUCAUUAAA